GUGAAGGAGGAAGGGUUUAUGGAGUAAAAAAUGUGGUGUAAGGGAAAAAAAAGAACGAGAGUAACUGCUCGUACCUUGACGGUACCUAACCAGAAAGCCACGGCUAACUACGGGCCAGCAGCCGCGGUAAUACGUAGGUGGCAAGCGUUAUCCGGAAUUAUUGGGCGUAAAGCGCGCGCAGGCGGUUUCUUAAGUCUGAUGUGAAAGCCCACGGCUCAACCG
rnacentral:rRNA from 1 species